UAUGUAUGUAUGUAUGUAUGUAUGUAUGUAUGUAAUUAUAUCUCAGGCUGCCUUUGAGCUUACUAUAUUAGCAGAAGAUGACGUUGAACUUCAGCUCUUCUGUGUGAUGGGAACCACAGGUAUGUAUCACCAUGCUGGGCAUUAAACCCAAGGCAUUAUACAUUCAAGGCACUCAAUCUACCAACUGAGCGGUGUCCUCAGCCCUCCAUUCUUUUUAUUUGUAUCAAGGAAGCUAUUUCUGUUCUGGAAAAUGUUUAGACAUAAAGGUGUAUUUAUUCUUUCUUCCAAGAUCCUUGCCCCUUUCCUAAUUUGUGGGUAACCAAGAAUAAGAAACACCUUAAUCUUUAAUGUUCAAAUCACAAAUUAAAAGGAAAAGUAAUAGAUACAAGGGAGAUGUGUUUUCCUCGACUGUAUUUUUAGCACAUCAUGCUUGCAUGUGGGAAAGUCUUGUAAAAAAUCAUUAAUGUGAAACUAACUAGGCCAAUGAUAGCUAUUAAUUUUUAUUGGAAAAUUACCUUCAAAAUGAAUAUUUAGAUGUAAGCUUAACAUAGUUAGAAAUGCAAUUAAGUCUGAUUCCUUGACACUUGAAAGCUUUUUUAUAUAUUUAUCAUUUAUUUGCCAAGUUAUUAAUCAAAGCCUCGCUCUGUAGCAAGCUGCAUGCUGAAGCUGGGGACGGAGUAAAAAUAACGAUGAGAAGCCUCCACAGUGGAACAUCCUACACUACAGGCGGCAGACAACCGAUAUGUGAAAAAUAGUUCUUGCUGGUACUAAGUGCUAAAAAGAAAACUAGCUGAGUGGAGAGAAACGGAGAGUGACAGAGACAGACGCACAGGGGUUUCCUUUGGAAGAGUCCCUCUCAGAUGACUGCAUUGACAGCCACAGAACUGGCAAGUGCCUCCCAGCAGAGGGGCAGUGGCAUAGAAGAAACAGAAAGGAAACCAAGGCAGCUACAGGAAAGUCAACGAGGCAUAGAAGACUGGAAAGAGAAAGUACUGGGAAGUCUGCUACCUUGGCGAUUUGCUGCCCUAGGCAACUGCUUGUUUGGACUCAGUGCUCCCAGCUGGAGUCAUGGUUCCUACUUAUUUGAAUGAUAACGAUCGCACCUCUUGGUCAUCAUGCUGGCAACCCACAUGGAUAAGUUUGUACCUAGGUAAAGUCCACAGCCUCUGAUUGCUAUAGUUGUUUUUUUUUUUUUUUUUUUUUUUUUUUUUAGGCUUUUCGUUGGAACGUAUAGAUUCUAAGCACAUUUGCUAUUUGAAAGUACCUUUGUUUUGUGCCUUGAGCAACUAGCCAGAGGCAUUUUAAAUUACGGCGGUGACUAAGAAAGUAAGAUCUAUGCAGAGAAAUCUGAAGAAUUUUAUCCAUUCUUAGUUCUUGUUAACAGGCUCAUUGUGUGCCGUGUGGAUGGCUUGGGUCUAGGACAGAUUUCUCUCUGAACUUGACAGCAUGGGUAUAUGAGUGUAAUUUGGCCUUUCGUUUUCCCUGGCAGCCGGUGCCCGUCCAUUUAUAUGGUAUGUUCACAGGAGAGCUGACAAGUGUUGAGAGGUUUUAUUUGAUAUGCAUUUUUUUCUCCUUUUUAGAUGAAAAAAAAAUCCGUAUAAAUAGGUACUUGUUAGCUAGUUUUCCUAGUUAGUCUUGUGAUCAUAACCAAAUGUUUCAUUAGAGAGUUUCACCCCAGCAGGUUAGUGUGCAGAAUGGUGGUACUGUGCUUAAUAUUCGUGGCGAAGCUGUACACAGGGAGAGUUUUUAAUGACACAAAUGCAAAGCCACAUUAUUUUUCCUGUAUGACUUGCAAAAGCCAUUCCUUCUAAAACAGGGCUAUUUAUGCUAAUUUGCAAUAGUUACUGAAUUGCAGGCGGCUCUGUGAAUUUACUUUUCUUGGCAGUUCUAGAAUAUCUUGCCAUAACACAUACUGAAAAACUGUUUGACGAGUUAUGAAAAUCUGGAUGCACUGCAGGUCGGUCUUGUGCAAACCACGAAAUGGUGAUUCCAUUAGGAAAACAAAACCUGUUAUCUGAUCAGGUUAAGGAAGAAGUGAAACAAGGAAAGUUGGGGGGUUUUGAAUGGAAGACAGGCUUUGUAGGGGUGCAGAGUUCCAUUAGUAAGGUUGGUUACUUGGUAUGUAACUUGGUCUGUGGUACCCAGCCCUUACUUGGUUUUAUUGAUCUUUUCGAAGACGCUGAAUUGUGCAGUCCGUGAAGCUCACCCGGGAGGCUAGUAACACACACUUUUCUCCAGAAGAAUUCAUUAUUGUUUGAGACAAGGUCUUUUGUAGCUUUAAUUGGCCUCAAACUCACUGAUUAGCCCCCGAUGAACUUAAACUCCUCAGCUUCCUGCCUCUACCUCAGACGGGUUGGGAUACAGGUGUUUGGAAUCAUAGCCAUUUUGGCAGCUUAACUGGCAUUUUGUUUUCUUUUUGGAAGAAUAGAAAAAAAAUACUUUACUGUCUUUAUCAUGUAUUGCACAAAAAAUCUUUAGUUUCACCAUAAAAUUAAAUGCAUUUAAAAAAUAAAAUAGGGAAACUAGUCUAAACCCAGUAGACUUCUGGAUCCUGACUCAAUUUUUUGGUAAAGCAAGUAAAAUUUUACUCCAAAUAUUUUUAAAUGAGAUUGUUUUGUUUGGAAUUGUGGUAAAUCAGGAUAGGUAUCUUGGGGAAAGGACCUUGGUUUAUAAUUUAAACUAUGAAAUAUUUAAUU
rnacentral:sRNA from 1 species